CUCCUGCGGGGAGUUCCUUUCUCUCCCUGCAUGAGUCUAUUCUCCGCACAACUGGCAGAGGUAAGUGAGACUGCGGAAGAGGCAAGUUUGCAAGUCCAGAGGAAAUGAAGACUCUGCUUGUGCACAUGCUGGGUUUGACGGGUGCUGGAUAUCCGAUGGAUGGCCCUUAAGCAAGAAGAGUUGGCCCUUUGUAUCUGUGGUUUCUGCAUCCCUGGAUUCAA
rnacentral:lncRNA from 1 species